GACAGAGACUGGACUCAGUUCUGGACACCCGGGGAGUCAACCAGUGAGGAUGCUGGAAUGGGGAUGGAACCCCAGGCAAGCAAUGUCUGAGGAAGAUUGUCUGGCAGGGGUCUGCACCGUGGGUCAGAGGAGGGACAGAGACAGGAGACCAGUCACGGGACUGUGACAGCGACCCAGUGGGAUGCUCUGAGAAUGGAAAGGAAGAGGUGUUCUUUGUUCUGAAGAGGAGAAACAGUAAAAAAAAAUUCACCAAAGACCCAAGACGGAAGACUGUGGGCCCAGAUCCUAAUGUAAAAGAAGCCUGCCUCAGCUUAAUUUUCUGGACAGCAAGAGCUAUGAAAGUGAACUGGGUGAAUAUUGGUGUUUUCAGGUUGAGGUUUCAAUGAAUUAGGGCAAUCAGAAGGAAGAGUUUAAUCUUGGGGUCUAGCAUGAGACCAUUCAAUUCAAACUUUCAUUUCACAGUUAGGAAACUGAGACCCAGAGAGGCACAGUGCUUCAGGUUGAUGCUAAUAGACUGAUUUUGGAAGGCAGCUGAGCUGGAAGACACAGAUCUGGGGGCCAUCAGCCAAGGGCUGAGAAUGAUGUGAAUUAAGAAGGUGGGAAGAGAAUUGAUGGCUAAGACCUGAGUCUUGAGGGAAACCCAUGGCCAGGAGCAGAGGAGUUAAGAUUCAUUCAGAAAUGCUCCUACAGACAUGGGAGAACAAGGAUUGUUCAGUAUAAUGGAAGCAAAGGAGAGGGUUUUGAGGAACAAAAGACUAGCCAACAGUAGCAAUUGCGUCAAGGUGAUCAAGGAAUAAGAUGUAAACAAUUGUUGGAUUUAUGAUAUGAUCUUUCAAAGUGCAGUUUCAGUAAAGUGAUAAGAAUGGAA